GCCCACUAGUUCUUUACUACCUUGUUAUCUCUCUAGUAUCUUCAAGCAUAUCUUUUUUAAAACUGUUCCUAGUUUUUCUUGAUAUCCUGAAUGAAUGACCUAUUCUUCUUUCAAAAAAGGCACAGGGUUCUUUUUUAUGCCUUCUUGUUCCUUCUUCAUUUUACUAAUAUUCUCUUUUACAUCCUUGAAGGUAUUUCUAAUAUUUAUUGUGCUUAUUUUCCACUGUUGGCCUGUGAUAAACAUUUUAUUCAGUUUGUUGUAUAGCUUUUAUAGUUCCUCAGGUGUCUACUGAUUUUGGCUUAUGAAAUUGUGUUUCCCUGGUGAUUAUGAGAUUCUCAGCCUGAUCAUGGAUAAGGGAUACGAAUAAAGUCUGCCCCUGCUGGUGAAUAUGAAGAGAGGAGUGGGGAUGAGCCUCAGGAUGGAGAGCCUCAGCUGGAAAAUGGAAUGAGAUCAGAAGAGACAGACGGAAACCAUUCCCUAUUCUAUGAAAGAUCUGGGUUUCAGAGUUAUCAGAUAAUUUGAUGAACUGGUUGGAUGAGUAUGAUGAAUUAAUAGAAAGGAUAGAUGAUGGAUCAGAGAUGGAAUGGAGUGAUCUGUGAAUGGGUGAGUUGAUGGGUGGGUAGAUGAAUAGAUGAAUGUCUGGAUCAGUGGAUGUAUCUAUGUAUGAAUGUAUAAAUGGUGGAUGGAGUAAAUUAAUAUAGAUAAAUGGAUAGAUAGGUGGAUAGAAGGAUGAUCGAUGGAUUGAUAGAUGCCAUACUGAAAUGUCUGGAUAGAGGAAUGGCUACAUGUAAAUAUAUGUAAGUUUGCAUCAUAUGUGUGAAUGGAGUAAUGAAGUAGGUCGCUGGAUGUUUGAUGGAUAGAUGGAUAUAACAGAUGAAUAGCUACAGAACUAGACAGAUGGAAAUGAUGGAUAAUGAGCAAUUGCAUAACUGAGUGGUGGCAGUGGAUAAUGGGAUAGAUGAUAACAGAAUGAGCUCUGAAAUUAGACCUGUAUUUGCAUCCUGACUUCGGAUAUCAGCUGUGUGACAUUGGGUAAGAUCUUUUAAUUUCUCUAAGCCUAGGAAAAAAUUUAAAUAUUCAAGAAAAUAGCCAUAACUCACAGUGAAAACUCUAAAGGGAAAAUUUUGUUUAAAAUAAGUACUUGUCAGAAUAAAAACAUCGAAGAAUAAAUAUCAUUAGCUGAGAGUGGUUCAGGGCUUAUUUGAAAUUAACUUUUUGUAAAUAAAAAUUUUAAAAGUGGAGAGCUGUGUUCUAAUGUCUAGUGGUAAGACUUGGAAACAUCUAACUAUGAAGUAAUAUUAAUACAGUCUGGGCACGGUGGCUUAUGCCUGUAAUCCCAGCACUCUGGGAGUCUGAGGCAGUCGGAUCUCUUGAGGUCAGAAGUUUGAGACCAGCCUGGACAAUAUGGUGAAACCCCAUCUCUACUAAAAAUACAAAAAUUAGCUGGGCUUGGUGGCUCAUGCCUGUAAUCCCAGCUACUUGGGAGGCUGAGGCAGGAGAAUCACUCCAACCUAGGAGACAGAGGCAGAGGUUGCAGUGAGCCAAGAUCACGCCAUUGCACUCCAGCCUGGGCAACAGAGUGAGACUUCGUAUGAAUAAAAAAGAAGAAGAAAAGAAAUAAUAUUAAUGCAAAACAUUUUACAAAUUAUAGUUACAAAAUAAAAUAUAAAUGCUGCUUAUGUAAAAUGUUAAUAUGACAAUAUGUGAAGAUGGGGGGAAGAGAAGGAAGGAUGCUUUGUAUCUAAUGUCCUUGUCUUUCAUAGCAGGGAAUCAAAAGCUAAUACCUAAACUGAAGUAUGGAAUGUAAAAACGAUCACUCUCAAUGGUUUUUUUUCCCCAAAUCUCUUUUUGUAAAUAUAGAAGAUUAUUUUGUAAAAACUCUCAAGGCGAAUAAACAUUUAUUUG
rnacentral:lncRNA from 1 species